AUUUGGUUUUAAUUUUUUCAUAUAAUACGAUAAGGUAUUAGUUAUGCUCAGCAAAUCGGUGAUACAAAUUUUAGAAAAAUGUUUGACGACAACAAACGGCAACUACCGGUUCCCGAAAUAUACCGAAACAUAUACUACAGGAUGGCAUUGAAAUUAUUGACCAUGGUCAAUAUAAUAACAUUGAUGGCAACAAUUGGCGCAUUGAUAGCAACAGUACUAAUGAUAAAAGACCAUUUAUUGAAUGGCAAUUUAUUAAUUUAAACUAUUUUAUCUAUUAGAUUAUUACUAUAAAAUAAUAUUAGUUUUCUCAAAACUAAUAGUUUAAUAUUUUAUUGUGUGUUAAUUAUUUUAAAAGGCUUCUCCAGCUAACUGGACUAUCCUAGUGGUCAUCUCAGGUACGGUUGACCGGCUAUUGACUACCGGAGCCGUACUAUGGAGUCGGGCUUCACAUAUAAUCUGAUAUUGUUGUCUUAUUAGUUGAUUAUCGCCGGCAAUGGUCUGUAUGUCAUCUCUGAGCCCAUGGUUUACAUUCAGCAAACUGUCCACACAAUUAUGAUUAUUAUUAUUAUUGUAUGUAAUAAUAUUUGUAUGAUAUUUACGGCAUGUAAUGAUAUUAUAUGGACAUAGCUGUAUGUGCUGGUCGUAUGCAUCCAAUUGUAGCACCUGAUGACAUCCCUGUGCUCUGUAUUAGUUUUACUUAACCAAACGGCGAUACAAUUUUGGCAAAAUGUUUGACGACAACAAACGGCAACUACCGGUUCCCGAAAUAUACCGAAACAUAUACUACAGGAUGGCAUUGAAAUUAUUGACCAUGGUCAAUAUAAUAACAUUGAUGGCAACAAUUGGCGCAUUGAUAGCAACAGUACUAAUGAUAAAAGACCAUUUAUUGAAUGGCAAUUUAUUAAUUUAAACUAUUUUAUCUAUUAGAUUAUUACUAUAAAAUAAUAUUAGUUUUCUCAAAACUAAUAGUUUAAUAUUUUAUUGUGUGUUAAUUAUUUUAAAAGGCUUCUCCAGCUAACUGGACUAUCCUAGUGGUCAUCUCAGGUACGGUUGACCGGCUAUUGACUACCGGAGCCGUACUAUGGAGUCGGGCUUCACAUAUAAUCUGAUAUUGUUGUCUUAUUAGUUGAUUAUCGCCGGCAAUGGUCUGUAUGUCAUCUCUGAGCCCAUGGUUUACAUUCAGCAAACUGUCCACACAAUUAUGAUUAUUAUUAUUAUUGUAUGUAAUAAUAUUUGUAUGAUAUUUACGGCAUGUAAUGAUAUUAUAUGGACAUAGCUGUAUGUGCUGGUCGUAUGCAUCCAAUUGUAGCACCUGAUGACAUCCCUGUGCUCUGUAGGCAUAUAUCAGCUUCAAGUUAGACAACAUGUUUAUCAUUUGGUUUUAAUUUUUUC